GACAAACAGGUCAAGUUAAGUUUUGUUGGUAUAAAAGGGAGUUAAAUGUUUGACUUAAAGAAAAUUAAUUUUGUAUGAGGAGGUGGAAUUCGUACAUAUAAAUUUUUAUAAGAAAUUUCUUUAUAUGAUGCUCCGAAAAUUAGAGUAGAGACCGGGAUUAGAUACCCCGUUAUUUUUUUUGUAAAUUUUGAUUUAGUGGUUUACCUGAGUAUUACGGGUUAUGAGGGUGAAAUGGGUUAUGUAAAUUUAUUAAACCUGAGUGAAGUACUUAAAACUCAAAAAACUUGGCGGUGCUUUAAUUCCUUCCAGGGGAACCUGUCCUGUAAUCGAUGAUCCACGAUUUAUCUUACUUUUUUUAGUAUAAUUAUUUAGGUAAUUUUCAGUUUGUAUACCGUCGUCGUCAGAUUACCUUUGAGAGUUAAAAAGUUGUCUAGUAAAGUUUAAUGACUUGUUGUGUUAAUUGGUUAUUUAUUUUUGAUGUCAGAUCAAGGUGCAGCUUAUAGAAAAGUAGAGAUGGGUUACAAUGUAAAUUUUAUAUUAUGGAGAAUAACUUGUAAUAGUUAUGUGAAAGUGGACUUGGGAGUAAUAUGAGAAAUUAAUUAGAAUGUUUAUGUGAAUAAGGUACUAAAGUGCGU
rnacentral:rRNA from 1 species